AUGGCUCUCAAUCUUAACGUCGACGAGGCUCGAAGCGGCGAAGAUAACACAACACCUGUUGACAAUGCUCGUCGUCUUUCAAAUGGUGAAGAGAAUACAGCUCAAAGUCAGCUUGUUACACCAUCAGGUGUCCCGUCGUCGUGUGCUCCUGAUAAAUCAGCGGCUCCGGAUAACCUCAAACCGGUGCUAUCAGUACCUUUGAGUGGCAGUAACAGUGGGUCUGAACCGGUGACGCCGGGGGAUUCACUCCAGGCUAUAACAACCCAGAGUCUUGAGCCCAAGUCCCAUGGAUGCAACACGUCUGCCUUGAGAUGUGGGGAAAAGCGGGAGAGGGAAUCAGACGACCCCUCUGAAGUUCCUGUGAAACGCCGCUUGAGACCAUCAGAGGAUAACGGGAAAGAAUGUUCACCAGAUUACGACCAGAGAUGUGCGGAGCUAUGGAUCGAUGGUGAAAUGGCUGCUUGUGAGGCUUAUGAAUUAUCAAAGUCCAGCAGCGACACCCAGCGCCUACAUGUUGUUCCACAACACGACAAUAACAGUUCUGUCAGUCGGCCUCCCACACAGAAGGACUUUGCACGUGCUGUUCGAGCCGAAGUGGCAGCCUGUUUUCAACCCCUCACAAAGUUGAUUAGUUUGAGUAUUGAGUGGAGCAGAACUGAUUUCGCUGAGGUGAUAAGUAGACUUCGUGCACUGCAGAGGGAUACCACAGAGUUGGGAAGUGAAAUCCGUAAUAUGCGAGCAGAUAAAAGACAGGCGUUAGAUGAAAUCUCUCUUAUGGAAGAAAGAAUGAGCGUCAUUCAAAGGUGUGUGUUAGAGACGCACCAAAUUAUGAAUACUACUAGAAAAUGAUGGGUCUGUUUAUCAUAGCAUACUGAUUUUGGUUCAACCCUAUUUCUGCUAAACUUUUCUUCUUUUUUUAUAUAAUUGUAUUAACGAGUGAUUAUAAUUUUUUUUUUUUUAAUGAUGUGCAUGCUUGUUUAUUACAUAACUUUUGUGUGUUAUUUUAAAUUUUUUUUUUUAAAUAAAUUGUUUCAAAAUGGCCCUAAAAGAUGUCA
ensembl:lncRNA